UACAGAGGUCUCAAGCGUUGUUCGGAUUCAUUGGGCGUAAAGGGUGCGUAGGCUGUGGGGUAAGUCUGGUGUGAAAUCCCGGGGGCUCAACCCCCGGAACUGCACUGGAUACUGCUUUACUAGAGCACUGGAGAGGGAACUGGAAUUUACGGUGUAGCAGUGAAAUGCGUAGAUAUCGUAAGGAAGACCAGUGGCGAAGGCGAGUUCCUGGACAGUUGCGUGACGCUGAGGCACGAAGGCCAGGGGAGCAAACGGG
rnacentral:rRNA from 1 species